UACGGAGGGAACUAGCGUUGUUCGGAUUUACUGGGCGUAAAGGGCGCGUAGGCGGUUUGUUAAGUUAGAAGUGAAAGCCUGGGGCUUAACCCCAGAACUGCUUCUAAAACUGGCAGACUAGAGUGUGGGAGAGGAUAAUGGAAUUCCUAGUGUAGAGGUGAAAUUCUUAGAUAUUAGGAGGAACACCGGUGGCGAAAGCGAUUAUCUGGAACACAACUGACGCUGAGGCGCGAAAGCGUGGGGAGCAAACAGG
rnacentral:rRNA from 1 species